rnacentral:lncRNA from 1 species
GUUUUCCGCAUGCGCAACAGGGUGAGGUGGGGGGUGCGGCAGAGACAGCUGUGGAGACAGCCCGCGUUCCCGGCAUGCCCCGGGGCGGCGGGGUUGGCUCUAACGAAUUUGAAUGAGGAGCCUCAGCGCUUUCGGCGCCAUUUUCGAGUGAUGCCUGAUCUCAUCAAUCUAGCGGGACGGAAGGGAUAACCUGUCCGAGCGCAGCGCGACGCUAGGAUCGUGCCGAAAAAUCCCCCAAAAAUUAUCAAAAAACAAAAAAAAAAACUUAAAACCGAAGGGCCGUCGACGGAGCUUUCGCCAGAUUUGGCGCAGACGAUUUUAACCUUUAGAAGAGAACCAAUUCUGGAAAACAACCUAAGUUUCUUUGACUGAAUGCUGGCAUAAUGCAUUGGAACACAAUAGAGGAUUAAGGUUUAACAAUGCUAAAAUGAAGAUAUUACUAGAACAGCCCUCUAAAUAGCCCAACAAUUAUUUUGUAAGUAUUAGCUUCCAGUUCCCUCCUCAGUGACCCACCACCAUUACUACAAAAACUUACUAUUUGCUGUCAUGUUUCCAUUCACUUCUGAUUAUUUUCUGUCUAUCCUAGAAUAGCUUAAGUCUCCCUCAGCUCUAUAUUCGUUAAUGUUUGAUUUUACUUUAGUUUAGAACAAGAAUGAUUUCAUUGCUGUAGGUUACUUUACUAGUGUGGAAAGUAUUUUCUAGAAAGGCUCUGUUAUCUCCAAGUCUGAGAAUCACAAUAUUAAAUCAUUUCUCCAAAGUUUAAAAAUAACUAAAGAUUUUUUUAAGGCUUACAUAUUUUUAUUUUAUGUGGGUUUGACUGCAUAUACAUGUGUACUGUGCCUGGUGUCCGUGGAGGCCAGAAGAGGGCAAUGGAUCCCCUGGAACUGGAGUUCUAAGGUGUUGGUUGUGUACCACCAUAUGGGUGCUGGGAACCCUGGUAUCUACAAGAACAAGAAGUACUCUUAACCAGGAGCCAUCCAUCUUUCCAGUCCUAGUAAUGGUAUUUUUUAUUAUCAUUAUUCAAGUUUAUUGAUCUUGCAGUUUUAUAGCUUGAAAGUAGCCUCUUGAAAUAUUUUUUGUUUUUGCAUUAAUUUGAGACUUCUUUGUAAGAAACUUUUUACACUUAGUUUUUAAAACUUCAGGAGAUAGGAAAAACAGCAAAGGCAAUCUCUUUUCUGUCUGUAUGCACACACUUGCACACAUUAAAAUUUUUCCUGAUUUAAAUUUGGAAAACUAUACAUUACAACAGAAUGAUUCUAACAGGUUAGCUGAAAUUAAUAUAUCUCCAGAAAAACUGGCAUAUUAAUAAGUUCAUGUUAAAUACACACAGAUAAUUAUUUCUAUGAAAGUAUUCCAGACUCUGAAAUUAACAAAAGAUUCAUUUCCAUCUACUUCUUGAGCUAAUUUUGCAUCUCUCAAAAAAAAAAAAAAAAACUCAGACUCAAAUUUCUGUUCCUAAGGGUUAGGGGGCCCCAUUUAAAUGAAAGUUAGUGCUUCAGAUGUUUCUCUUCCAUUGUCUCACACAUUGCAUUAGUAAUCCAAAACCCAUGUAUGUUAGAUAACCUUAUGAUCACAGAUGAAUCCUUUCAAGUCAAGUAGUGAGAAUGUGUGUCAUCAACGUUAUGUGUAUCUGUGUUGUUGCGCCCCUCCCAGGGGGGAGGAGGAGAUGGGACUCAAUGGGAGGUAAGAUAAAGAAAUAUUGAAAACUUUGUCUUAUUAGUAGCAAAAUGCUACAGGCUGUUUUUGUUUGUUUUUUCUUGUAAAAGUUUUUCUUGCAUAUUUUUAUCUCUAGGAAAUUAGAAUGAAAACAUUUACAAAACCCUAAAGAAUCCUGUACAGUACAGGCUUGGGUUCCUUAAUUGAACCCUUGGAAACCAACUUCAGCCUUCCUUUAAGUUACUAAAAAUGACAGUUUUCCAGUUGAUACUCUACUCCUACUGUCGGCUCCUACUGUGGCCCACUUUACACGACCCUACAUGGUUUUCUGUGCUUGUGUCUCUCUUUCUUUUACUGUUUAUUUAAUACCAUAUUUUCUUUUAACAUAAUAAUUUCUUUUAAGUUAUUAAUUUUAUGGAUAGUGUAUAAGAAGGGUUUUCGUAGUGGCUUUUUUUUUUUUUUUUUUUUAAUUUCUGUUUUCUUUGCAGUGAUAGAGAUGGAACCCAAGGCUUUAAAGGAAUCUAGACAAGCACUUUACCUCCCUAGCCCUUCAUCUUUGGAAUAUGGAUGUCCUAGAAGUGGCAUAAUGGUGUUAAUAUGUUAGGUGCUCUCAUUUGAAUAAUGGUAGUAUUUUGUACUCAUUUUUCCAAGUUGCAUAAAGAAAUUUUAAGUUUACUUUCCACUUUAAAGUUUUUUUUUUUUUUUUUUUUUUUUUUUUUUUUUUUUUGUAGUUUUGGAGCCUAUCCUGGCACUCGCUCUGGAGGCCAGCCUCAUCUACAGAGCGAGUUCCAGGGCAGCCUAGAGAAACCCUGUCUUAAAAAAAAAACAAAAAAAGAAUAUUACACCCAUCUUUUUAAAUAUAAAACAGAAAAGAUACUAAGAUAUUGACCUAAUAAAGAAACAAAAUAUGAAGAAGAAUUCACAUUUAGUCCUGUCAGUAUUGAUAAUCCUGUAAUCAUUAGAUGACAGAAACCAGUUACUUCCUAAUUCAGGAAACCUACUCAAUGCUAUGCUAGGAAAAAAAUAAAAAGAUAUAACUACUUCCCAUGUAGGAAAUACAUCAGGUUAGCAAGAAAAUAAUGAUACACAAGUAUUGUCAGUUGUUGAAUUAUAUUAUGGGGGUUAAUAUUAGAGAUGAAAAGGAAUGUUUUCAUUAUUGGGGAAGUUAGAGUCGUUGAUAUGGCAGGUGAUGAAAUUUUUUUUGCUUUUAGUAAAAAUUAAUUUUGUAAUUCUAUGUUAUAAAUGGACUGAAAAUUUUGUUAUUUUUAAUUUAUUUGUGAUAUAAAUAUCUUUGUAGUAUAAACUGCUGUUUGUCAUGCCACUAAGGAGAAAAUUUUACCUAUCUUAAGUAGUUUCUUUAAAAGGAAGUGUUUCCUGGGAGUAUAUACCAAACAUAAAAAAAAAAAAAAAGUAGUUACUUAUUUUGGAGUUGAAUUAGUGGUGAAAGGUAGCAGAUACUGUCAUAAUUAAGGGAAGAAAAGGAUGCCUUAGAUACCUACUGAUAAGAUGACUCCCUAUCAAUUUAGUAUGUAAAAAUCUAAUUUCUGAAAGUUAUAUAUUGCUUUAUAGUUCAUAGGCAUCAAAAAAGUUCAGUGUUCUCUUAAGUUUUUUAUUGUUGGAAAAGUAUUGCUUUUGAGAAUUACAGAAGUAUUAACUGAAUGCCAGACAUUCUUUGUCCUCAAAGCCUUUAAUUUUUGAUGUACAAAUGUUUAAUAGAAGGAGUAUUUUAAAUCUUUACCUUUUUACUUAAGCCUUGAUGAUAUUUCUAUUCUCAACAAAAUGGCAAUCUUGAAAUUUAAGUUUUAAUGCAAAAUUAUGGACUCAUUUUUCCCAUUCUGAACAAUUUUUCAGCUUCUACAAAGAUUCAAAUAAUAGAAUUUAUGAAGUUACUUUGGAUAUUAGGAAAGUUAAAACGAGGGUUGGGAAUGUAGUUCAGUUGAUAGAGCUCUAUCUAGAAAGCAUACACUCUGUGUCUGAUGUCCAGCACCAAGGAAACUGUGUAUAGUGGUACACACCUAUAGCCUAUCAGUAGGAGGAGAAGAGAAACAGGAAUUAAGAUCAUCCUUGACAACUUAGUGAAAUUGAGGACAGCCUCAGUUGCAUGAUACCUUGUCUGGAGGGAGAGAAGGAAAGGAGGAAAAGUUAAAAAAAAGUUAUACCACAGUUCUGAAUUUUAGUGGUGUGUAUGUUCCCUCCAAGUUCUUACUUAAAAAUCAACUUCAUAGUAUAGAGAACCUUAUUCUUUGGUCCUCGAUGAGUGUCCCAAAAUAGUUUUUACCUCUUUUCUGAAGGCUGAACAUAUCCAGGUCUUUCUUUGAAUUGUCAAUAGCAUCAGUUGUGGACCAUAAUAUUACUGGUGCUCCACUUUUAUCCUGAUGCAUUUUAUAGCAAGCCCUUUAAAACCAUUUGUAGAGGUAGAGCCAAUGUAGUCAAUGUGGCCAAGGUAAAAGAUUUUUUAUAAAUAAGUUAUUUCUGGACCAGCAACAACACCAACUCUUUGUCAUUAACUGUAUUAGUGUAUGUUGAGCUACAACAUAGUUGCCUGAAACAGUGAGUUUGUCAGAAAUGCAGACCCUACUGAGAAUUUAGGUUGAACAGACAUUUAAUGAACAUGUAGUCACUAUUAAAUGUGCUCAUAUAGGAUUAAGGUAUACGAUUUAAAUGAGAUAGGCAUUUGCCACAUUUUAUCCAAGAGGAACCAGAGCAGAGUCAGUAUACUAGAGUAACUUAGCCAUGAUAAGGACUCAUAAAGGGGAGAAUGCUAGGGUUCUGCCCUCAGAGUCUGUAUUCUGUCAUUAUAUUCUACCAAACUUACCUGUUCCUUAUUAUAUUAAUAAUUAGUUUUUAAAAAUUCAAAAACUGAACCAUUGUUCUGAUCUAGUCAAGAUGAUGUUAUAGUUUAGACAACAUGCCUGAAAUCUAAAUAUUUUAUGAAGUGCAACACUUUAGGGAAACAAGAUGAAUUAAUAUUAGAAGUCUUAUAAGAUAAAACCGUAAAUAUUUCUAAAUAAAAAUAUGAAUGGAAACAAAAGAGGGUUGACGGGGAAAAUUGGACAAUUUGUGAUUUGCUCUAUCAUUUUAAAUUGCUAUUCUGUGAUAUAAAGAAUAUUAAUUUCAGUACUUAAGUAUUCCCAUAUAUUCAUUUGUAUAGUUAAGUUGACUUCUUAAGCAAGACAUUUAUCUAUUUUUAUCUCACUUUCAGAAUGACUUGUUUUUUCUUCUACGAAUAUAAGUAAAAUGCUGAGGUAUAUAAAAAAAGCCAGCAAAAAAAAUUAAGGGUCUCUAGGCCUGAAUAUAAACCACUGAAUUUGAAAUUAUAGCCAUUGUAUAAAGAUACAGAAUAAAAUCUUUUUUUGUAACUUUUAUCUUUAUUCUAAUACAGUAAUUUUCAUACCUUUUCUUUUAGCUGGAGCACUUGAAGGCAGAGAAUUGAGGACUUAAAGACAGUAUGAUAUAUAAAUGACCUAAGGUAUAGGAAUGGAGAAAUGGCAUGGGAUAUACUAGAAGUAGAUUGCUACAUAGCUAGUCCAGUUUGAAUGGAAAAUUUGGUAUGAAAUGAAAUAAUAAAAAUAGUUUUUGUCAAGAGGCAGAGUAAGUCCCUUUUAAUAGUGUCAGGAAAACUAGGUAAUCAUACAAGAAAUACUUUAGUUAGACCUUAUUACCAUGCAUAAAAAUUCAUUCCAAAUAAGUCAAAGACUAAACAAAAAGACUAAAACUGAAACUCUCUUUAGAUAACUUAAAGUUGCUGGCCUGUGGUAGUGCAUUUCUUUAAUCCCAGUGCCACAAGGAGUCAGAGGCAGGCAUAUCUCUGAAUUUUAGGCCAGUUUGGUCUAUGGAGCAAGUUCCGGGACAGCCAGGGCUACACAGAGAAGCCCUGUUUCAAAAAUGAAUUAAUUAAUAGAAAAGUAAAAGCCAACUCCUAUGAGACAUCCUUUAACCUCCAUACAUGUGCACGGUGGUGACAUUCAUACCAUACACAAAUAAAUUUAGUUUAAACACACACAGGAAACUGAGACAUAGGAAAAUACUGUCCCCAGAGAUGGUGUGUCAUGUCUGUAGUGCCAGGUUGUGGGGCAGGGCUGAGGCAGGAGGAUUGCAAGUUUCUGGCCACCCUGGGUUGACUGAGUAGGAUCUGUCUCAAAAGAACACAUUUACAAAGAAAAAUUCCAUAAAGCUCCAAAAUGAGAAUAGAAGUGGGGGCUGAGGAAAUGCGCCAAUGAAUAAAGUGCUGAAUUUGGAUCCUUAGAACCCACAUAAGCCAGCUGCAGUAGCACAUGGUAACAUCAAACAGGAGACCCUAUCUCAAACAAGGUAGAAGGUGAGGCAAAUGCCUGAAGUUGUCUUUUGGCUUCCACUUGUCUACAGUGGUGCACACAUACAUAAAUCAUAAAUAGACAUUUAAAAAAGAAAGGGUUGAAGAAAUACCUUAGAAGCUUAGAGCACUUUCUGCUCUCGUCUUCCCAGCAUACACAUCAGGUGGCUCACAACCUCCUAUAACUGUAGUUCCAAGAGAUUAGACAUUUUAUUCUGACCUCAGGCACUGCCUGCCCAUACAUGGCACAUAUACAAACAGGCACACACACACACACACACACACACACACACACACACACACACACAUAAAUAUAGGAUUUUGUUUGUUUUUGUUUUAAGUAGAGCUGGAGACUAGUGAAGUGCUUGCUGUAUAAGCAAAAAGUCAGUUCAGUGUCCAGCAUCAGGUGGAUCAUGGUAAAUUGGUUAUGAUAACACAUACCUUUAUACCCAAGAAUUACAAAGAGAUUCUAUUCUACUACAUGGCUUUAGAAUAAAUCUUUUAAAAUUUGUAUAAGUGAAGCAACUCGUAUAUAAAUUCCUCUCAACUUCAAUUAUAGGAUAUGGAAAAUUCAGGAGACAGGAUAGAAAGUUAAUUUCUUAGGACUAAGAAUAGGAAGAAUGGACAGUUGGUGUUUAAUGAGUAAGGUAUAUCAGUUGGAAGUGAAAAUUUUCAAGUAAUAGAGUUGGUGAUGUUUGGAAUAUGAAUGCACUUAAUACCACAAAACUGAAAUCCUAAAAAUGCAUAAAGUGCUAAAUUUUGUUACAUAUAUUUGAUCAGUUUUUAGAAAUAAAGGGCAUUUCUUGCUGUGAAUUUUUUUAUUAUUUAUGAAAUACAAGCAUGAAUGUGUAUACUCAUUCUGUUUCAAGUUUGACACUCUUGGUUUAAAAAUAGAUUUUACGCAAAAAGAUUGACUUGAUUUUGAAAUUAUUCAUUUAAUAUUGGAAUAAACACUUAAUGUAUGUACUAUACAGGGACAAAGAACAAUAUAUAGAUGGUGGUGUUGUGUGUGUGUGUGUGUGUGUGUGUGUGUGUGUGUGUGUGUGUGUGUGUGUGUAAGUAACAAUGACUCAUGUAGCUCAGGAUGCCCUCAGACUUACUACAAAGCCAAGGAUGACCUUGAAAUCUUUUUUUUUUUUUUUUGGUUUUUCGAGACUGGGUUUCUCUGUGUAGCUUUGGAGCCUAUCCUGGCGCUCGAUCUGGAGACCAGGCUGGCCUCGAACUCACAGAGAUCCGCCUGCCUCUGCCUCCCGAGUGCUGGAAUUAAAGGUGUGUGCCACCAAUGACCGGCGUGACCUUGAAAUCUUUAUCAUUCCUUUAUCUUCCAAGUGCUGGAAUUUUAAAGAUGAGUUACCAUUGCCUUAAAUCAGCAUGUGAUUUUGAACAGUUAGUUCAUGUUGUGUCUUAUAAUUUAGGUCAUUCUAAAUCUUUUCUAAAGAGAAACUAUAUUUUGUGCACUAUUUUACUGUACCAACUAUAGUAUAACAAUUGGGAUAAUGGUAACAUGAGUAGGUGCUCAAUAAAAUAUUUAAGUGAAAAAUAGCCAUGUAUGUUUAAAAUUUAAUGAGGUAGUAGGUUUGAGGAGAACCUAAAAUUUCAUGUAACUGAUUGUUCUGGUUAGUUUGGCAACUUACAAACUGACAUCUAGAAAGAGGGAAUCUCCAUCAAGGAAUUGCCUACAUCAGAUUGUCCUCUGGACAUGUCUAGUGAGCAUUUUCUUCAUUAAUGCUUGAUGUGGCUUGGCCGAACCCACUGUUGGCAGCCUCACCCCUGGGAAGAUGGUCCUGAGUGGUAUAAGAAAGAAAGCAGGGCACGCCAGUAUGUAGCAUUCUCUAUGGCCUUUGGUUUCAGUUCCUGCUUCCUGUUUCCUGAUUUGUGUUCCUGCCCUAAAUUCAUGAUGGGCAUUAGGUUGUAAGGUAAAAGAAACCCUUUCCUUCCCAAGUUGUUUUUCACAAUGAUGGAAAGCAAACUAGGACACUGAUAAACUGAAGCAUGUGUAGCUAUAUCUUGAAUAGAUGCUUAAAAUCAUGUUAAAACUUCAGGCAAUAAUAGAGAAAUGGUUGAAACAAUAGUUGCUUAUGCACAAAAGUGAUCUGUAUACAUUUUAAUAGUAGAGUAAUAAAACUUAAUGGAAUAUGACUGUGCUUAUAAACAAUUAGAAUGAAUGGAAUAUGACUGUGAUUCCUUCAAACAAGUAGAGAUGGAAGUUUCAUGGUUUGUUUGUACAAAUUUGUCCUAUAAUAGAAAACAGUGUACCUUUAAAGGAAUAGCCAUUUUAAUGAGAAACAAACAAAUGGUCACUUAGGCUUGAGCUACAGGAUUCCUGUUCUAUAUCCUUUUAGGAAACCAAAUUGACAUGUUAUUCUGGGUAAUAUUUAUUAAAUGACACUGAAUUUACAGUAACCAUUCCAAUAUGGAGAUAAAUCUUGAGUAUUUGUGUAUUAAUUGGGGGGAUCUAUAUAAUAUAUUUUGAGGAUAUAUAUGUGUGUGUGUAGACAUACACACAUAAUUGCAUUUAGUAUGAAGUCACUUUUAGUCUUUUUCUAAGUAUUGGUAUAAAUUUCUUGAAACUGAAUUUUUGUGUGUUUUUCCUUAAACAUAAAAGCCUUAUCAUAUGACUUGAGCUUUGAAAGAUGUACUGUUCUGAAUAAGGUAAAAACCAACUUUUAUAACAGCUUCAUUUGUUAAAUACAUUGAAAAGUUUGUCUAGUUAAUAAAUCAUAUUCUUAUUAAGUUGGCCCAGAAAAUGGCUUGAUUUCCUCAUUUUUAUGAUGACUAUAAAUUAUAGCACUGUAUUAAGUACAUAGUAGGCUUUUAUUUAUGAUAUGAACAUAAAUUUUAUUCUACUCAAAGCUUAUAAAAUUGUGCGUUUACCAGUGUUACAUUUUCAAACAUGGAUUUUAUAUAUUCUGCUUUUUCCUAAGAAGAUUCUUUGUAAAUUGCUAUUUAGGUGCUAUUGUGUUUUCAAAAACAAAAAAACCUUGGAGUAAAGUAGCAGCACAUAAUGGUUUGUGGAUUUUGAAAAGGUGCAGGCCAUAUUGUGCUGCCUCAAAAUACAAGGAUCUGAUCUUCUGAAGAAAAUAAAUGUUUUUUAUUCAUAGCUUCUGUGAUAGCAAUGUCAGCAGUGCCUUAGCAGCACGUAAAUAUUGGCGUUAAGAUUCUGAAAUUAUCUCCAGUAUUAACUGUGCUGCUGAAGUAAGGUUGGCCAUACUCUACAACUGUAAUUUAAUGUAUGUGGAUAUUACUGGUGUGUUUUCAAGUUUUUAUGAUUGCAUUUUCUGUAUUUGUGAUUUUGUUUAGUAUAAUAAUGUUAAUAAUAGCUUUCCACAUGUAUUAUAUCUGUUAAUGUUGUGUAACUGGGGGAUGGGAAUGUAGCUCAGUUGGUAGAAUGCUUCUGCCUAGCAUGCACAAAGUCAAAGUCAUGGGUUCCAGCCUCACCACUGCAUACCAGAGAUUUAAGGUCAUCCUCAGCCACAAAGCAAGUAAGACCUAUAUGAGAAUCUUGUCUUUAAAAAAAAGCAUGUAAUUAAUUCUGUAUCUAUAAGGAAUUAGUUCUAGGACUUCUAUGGAUACUUAGAUUUGCAAAUGCUUGAGUGCACUAUGUAAAAUGGUAUAAUGUCUGCUUCUGACUAGUGCAUACAUCCUUAUAUUUAGACUCAUCUCUAAUUGCUUUUAAUGUGUAACGCAAUGUUAUGUUACACAGAUAAAUUGUAUUAUUUAGCUUAUUCCCAUAAUGACAAGAAAAAACCUGUAUAAAGGCAGCACCCCACCCCAAAAAAAUUUUUAAUUGGUUUGAUGUUUUGAGAUAGGGUCUUACUCUAUGGACAAGGCUGGCCUGGAACUCACAUCCACCCACCACUGCUUCUCAAGUGCUUUAACUAGAAGUGUGACACCACACCUGACCGCUGAAAUAGUUUGAAUCUGUGGUUGGUUGAAUCCACAGAUGGAGCAAUGACUGUAACUGGUUUCAGAAUGUAUUUUAAUUGUUGGAUAUCUUCAAGAGUCUCUGAACUACAGUGGUAGAGUAUAUAUAUAUAUCUAGUACAGACAAGUCCUGAGAUCUCUCCCCAGCAUUUCCAUUAAAAGUUUCUUGAAAGAGUUUAGAAGCACUAUAGACCUUAUUUUUAAUGUGUUUUUAUAUUCUAUAUGAAUUUGAAUUCAGAUUAUUACUUCAGAUAGAAAAUAAAUAUUAAUUUCUCUUGAAGUUUUCUUUAUCUUAGAUAAAGUAUAAAAUAUUACAGAUUUUGAACAGAAUUUAGAAGAUAAUCUUUAGUAUAAUGUGUCUAAAUAUUUCAUUUUAAAUGAAGGAGGAAAAACAUUAAAAUAAUGUGUUGAACUUCUAAAUUUUAAAUGUAGGAAAAUCCUAAGAGAUUACCAAUCUUUUCAUUGGGUAACUGAGGAAACAACCCAAAGUUUAGUUUGCAAAAGAUGACAUAAUAAGUUCUUAUGUCUUCUAACUUUACAAUAAUCUACUGUUUUUCUUAUUUUUACUAAAAUAUUUUCUUAAGUUCUUAGCAGAAGUUUGGUUUGUUUGGUUUGGUUUGGUUUUUCAAGACAGGGUUUUUUUUCUGUGUAGUUUUGCAGCCUGUCCUGGCACUUACUCUGUAGACCAGGCUGGCCUUGGACUAACAGAGAUCUGCCUGCCCCUGCCUCACGAGUGCUGAGGAUGUGCGCCACCACUGACUGCCCGGCUGUUAGAAGUUUUUUUAGUAAAUCAACGUAUGAAGGGCUUCUGUACCUUAUUAAUAUUUAACUUCAGAUUUAAGCCAGGUUGUAAUUUAGUUAUUAAUUUUAUAAAUGUAAAUAUGUUCAGAAUAUUUUAAUUACAGUUCACAGGAAAUGUUCUUUUUACUAUCAUGUAUUCCUUAUUUGGAGUGUUUAAGUCAUUAUUAAAAAUGUUAACUGUCAUUACUUUCUUACAAGGAGCAUCUUACCUUUUCAGAUUAAAGGUUCUUAAUGGAUUCUAACUAUUAUAUGCUGUGGGGAUCCUAAAAGUAUUUCAGAGAUAUUUUUCAGAAAUUGUAUUCAAAGGAACUACUUACUCAAUUCUAAUUUAAAAGUAAAAUUAAAUUAGUUUUAACUCAUUUAAUUAAUUAUAAGUCCCACAUUUGAGAGCAAUCACUUUUUUCUAGUGGGGCUGUCCGUAACUAAAGCAGUAAGAGAUACAUAUUGUGGCUAGAAUUUAAAUACUACCUUUUACAUGAAAAUAAUGUUGUUGGUUCUUUUGCACAUCAUUGUGGAGCAUUGAGGUAAGCAUGAAAAUCGGAGUGUGAUCCUUGUAAUCAACAUAAAGAUGAAAUGAGAGAACGAACUCUACAAAAUUAUUCUCUGGUCUCCAUAGAAAUCAUAAUAAAAGUUUUAUCUUAAUCACUGAACUCAACUUUUUUUAUUUUGACUAUUAUAUGAGAAACAAUUAUGAAGUAAUUACAGAUACAUAAUUUAUUCUAUUAAAACAUGCUUGGAAGUAUUCACUUAUAUAGUUUGUCCAAUUUUUUCCACAACAAUCCUAAAAUUAGAUUUCUUUUGCAUAGGUAUAAUCCUAAAAGUGUCAGAGAUGAAGAUUUCUUCUAAAUGGCAAAAAAAAAAACCUGCAUUUUACAUUUGCCAAUGCAUAUUUAUAAUUCAGAUGUAAAAAAGGACUGUUUGUGGCUAGUAUAUUUACAUUCAAUUUUUAAUUCUUGUUUUCAGUUCUAAAAAUGGUUAAAGAAAUUUUUAAAUAAUAUGGCCAGAAAGAAAAUAGUGACACAUCCCUAUGAUAUCAGAACUCGGGAAGUGGAGGCGAGGAGACCAUCAGGAGUUGAAAGUCAUCCUCAGCUCUAACCCAGCCUAAGCAACAAACCAACAAGAACCAAAAUAAUCUUAGUGCAAUCAUAUUAGGUUGUUACCUGUGAUAUAACAUGUGCUGUUUGUUUGAUCCUUGAUCCAGGGGGUGGUGGGGGACUUGUGUUUUGAGCAAGAAUGGCCCCCAUAGGUUCAUGUGUUUGAAUACUUGGUCCUCACUUGGUGUAACUGUUUGGAAGUAUAGGUGUGGCAUAGGAGGAGGUGUGUUACUAGGGGCCUGGCUUUGAAGUCUGAAACAACACUUCCUGGUUAGCUCCCUCUUUGUCUGCUGCUUACACAUAAAGAUGUGAGUUAUCAGCUGCUGUUCCAGUGCCCUGCCAGUCUGCUUGCUGUUGUGAUUGUCAUAGACUCUAACCCUCUGAAAUUGUAAGCCACAAAUUAAACACUUUCUUGUAUAAGUUUGUCUUGGUCUUGGUGUCCCUUCAUAGCAGUAGAAAAGCCACUAAGCCCUGGGUGGUGGUGGCACACGCCUUUAAUCCCAGCACUCAGGAGGCAGUGACAGGUGGAUCUCUGAGAGUUCAAGGCUAGCCUGGUCUGUUCUACAAUAUGGGUUUGGGGGCAGGCUCCAAAGCUACAGAGAAACUUGUCUCCAAAAAAAAAAAAAAAAAAAAAAAAAAAGAGGGCUAGAAAGAUGGCUCAGGUUAAGAGCACUGGCUGCUCUUCCAGAGGUCCUCAGUUCAAUUCCCAGCAACCACAUGAUGGCUCACAACCAUCUCUAAUGAGAUCCUGGUGCCCUCCUAUGACAAGUGUAUACAUAAUAAACAAAUAAAAAUUUAAAAAAAAGAACCAUCACUAAGUGUUACUUUAAUAGUACUUAACUUUUCAUAGAGAAGAACUAGCCACUAUAUACUAAAAUAUACAUUUAAGCAUAUAUUUUAAAUUUAUUUGUACUUGCUUGGAAAUCUAGAGUUAAUUUCCAUCUUUGUAACUAAUUUUGAGACAAAAAUAGUUAGUAGCGGUAGCAUGAAUUCUAAUUGUUUUUAAUAAUAAAAGCUCAGGGUCAGAUAUUGGAGUUAAAGAUCAGAGAAGCACAAUAGCAAGCUACUAGACAGUUCUUACCUCUACCAAUGCUCAGACCAAAGAGUGAUCCUGUCGUCAGACUACAUCCUCAGACUGCCUAGACUGCACUGUUCUCAGACUGCACCUCUCUCGUCUCCUCCUGCCUAAUAUUCCUCUCUCUGCCCAGCUAUAUCACUCCAGUCUCUACUUCCUUAGUGCUGGGAUUAAAGGCUGGAAUCAAAGGUAUGAGCUAUAUUUCUCUUUUAGACAAAUUCAACCUCAUGUAGCCCAGGGUAGCUUGAACUAAUAGAGAUCCCUCUGCUUCUGUCUCCCAAGUGCUGGGAUUAAAGGUGUGUGCCAUCACUGCCUGGCCCUAUGGCUAACUAGUGUGGCUAGCUUUGCACUCUGAUCUUCAGGCAAGCUUUGUUAGAUCAUGAACAAAAUAUCACCAGAGGUAGCAAAAUUAAAGUUACACCCAUUUAUAUUAAUAAUAUAGUCAUCUUUCAAAAAAGAAAUAAUUACAUAUAGGUAUUUUGUGCUCUGAGGUUUUGCACACACAAGUUUACAAGUUAACUCUAUUUAAAAAUUUUUUUGUUUGUUUGGGUUUUUUUUUUCCUCUUUUGUAGAGGGAUACUAUUCCCCUUGUGGAAAACUUUUUUUUUUUUAAUUGUUGUUUCAUUAAAUAGAGAAAAAGGGAAGAAAAUAGUGUCCUAAUUUUUUUUCAGGUAGAUUUAGCUACUUAUAUAUUUUGGAGAACAAAUGAAUGACCAUCAAUACAUUCCAUCUACCAAAGGGUUAGGGGAUAGCUUAGAACAUGUUUGUUUCUAAUACCUUAAACCCUUUAUAAUACACAGAUUGCUCCUCCAUCAAAAACUUAAGGGAUUGUGUUCUUACCUUAUAUAUUUAUAAAAUAUAUCGCAGGCAUUUCACUUUUCUCUGUUCUUUUUCCUUGUUUGUUUGUCUGUUUGCUUGUUCUGGUGCUUGGGAGUUGAACUCAGGACCUCCAAAAGGGCUCUACUACUAAAACAUCCCAGUACCAAAAAAGAAAACUAUUGAAACUAUUUUUUAAAUUUAUUUAUUAUGUAUACAACAUUCUGCCUCCAUGUAUGCCUGUGUGCCAGAAAAGGGCACCAGAUCUCACUAUGGAU